rnacentral:pre_miRNA from 1 species
GUUGCAGUUCCUGGAAUUAAGUUGACUGUGUAGCCUGUGRGGGCAAGGCUUGAAUAAUGCUCCUGAAGUCAGCAACUUGAUUCCAGCAAUUGCGGCCCGA